rnacentral:rRNA from 1 species
AGGACGCUUGCCACUUUGUGGUUCAUGACUGGGGUGAAGUCGUAACAAGGUAGCGCUAGGGGAACCUGGCGCUGGAUCACCUCCUUA